UCCAGGUGGUAUGCCUCCCAACAACUUUAAUCCCAGCAUGCCUCCUCACAACCGCCAAGGCGAUUAUCCAGGAGGACCACCACCUCCGAACAAUUUUAACAGACCACCACCGCCACCACCGCACAACUACAGCGGACCACCACCACCACCACCACACAACUUCAGCGGACCACCACCACCACCACCACACAACUUCAGCGGACCACCACCACCACCACCGCACAACUUCAACGGACCACCACCACCACCACCGCACAACUUCAACGGACCACCACCACCACCGUACAACUUCAACGGGCCACCACCUCCUCCACCAAACAACUUCAACGGACCACCACCUCCUCCACCGAACAACUUCAACGGACCACCACCACGCAACUAUGCUUCAGCAUCACCAAAUCACGGAGGAGGAGGAGGAGGAGCACCCCACAACUAUGGGGGGCCACAGGAAAACAACUAUUGGGGAGCACAGCAGCCAAACAACUAUGGUGGAC
rnacentral:lncRNA from 1 species